AAUAGAUACCCAGGUAGUCCACGCCGUAAACGAUGAGUGCUAAGUGUUAGAGGGUUUCCGCCCUUUAGUGCUGCAGCUAACGCAUUAAGCACUCCGCCUGGGGAGUACGGCCGCAAGGCUGAAACUCAAAGGAAUUGACGGGGGCCCGCACAAGCGGUGGAGCAUGUGGUUUAAUUCGAAGCAACGCGAAGAACCUUACCAGGUCUUGACAUCCUCUGCCAACCCUAGAGAUAGGGCGUUCCCCUUCGGGGGACAGAGUGACAGGUGGUGCAUGGUUGUCGUCAGCUCGUGUCGUGAGAUGUUGGGUUAAGUCCCGCAACGAGCGCAACCCUUGAUCUUAGUUGCCAGCAUUCAGUUGGGCACUCUAAGGUGACUGCCGGUGACAAACCGGAGGAAGGUGGGGAGUGACGUCAAAUCAUCAUGCCCCUUAUGACCUGGGCUACACACGUGCUACAAUGGAUGGUACAAAGAGCUGCGAACCCGCGAGGGUAAGCGAAUCUCAUAAAGCCAUUCUCAGUUCGGAUUGUAGG
rnacentral:rRNA from 1 species